rnacentral:rRNA from 1 species
CAGUCGCCGCGGGAAUACGAAGGGGGCUAGCGUUGUUCGGAAUUACUGGGCGUAAAGCGCACGUAGGCGGAUAUUUAAGUCAGGGGUGAAAUCCCGAGGCUCAACCUCGGAACUGCCUUUGAUACUGGAGAUCUUGAGUUCGGAAGAGGUUGGUGGAACAGCUAGUGUAGAGGUGAAAUUCGUAGAUAUUAGCUAGAACACCAGUGGCGAAGGCGGCCAACUGGUCCGAUACUGACGCUGAGGUGCGAAAGCGUGGGGAGCAAACAGGAUUAGAUACCCGGGUAGUCCCUGUCUCUUAUAC